AACACAACUGGUCAGUCUCCCCACCUCCCUAACACCCCAGGUGUCUGUGAGGGCACGAGAGUCCAGGUGUCUGUGAGGGCACGAGAGUCCAGGUGUCUGUGAGGGCACGAGAGUCCAGGUGUCUGUGAGGGCACGAGAGUCCAGGUGUCAGUGAGGGCACGAGAGUCCAGGUGUCAGUGAGGACAGGGGAGUCCAGGUGUCUGUGAGGGCAGAAGAGUCUAGGUGUCUCUUAGGGCAGGAGAGUCCAGGUGUCUCUUAGGGCAGGAGAGUCCAGGUGUCUGUGAGGGCACGAGAGUCCAGGUGUCUGUGAGGGCAGGAGAGUCCAGGUGUCUGUGAGGGCAGGAGAGUCCAGGUGUCUG